GAGCUCACUGGUGACGUAGAUCUCAUGUGACCAGGAGUCGACGUGUGCAGAAGUCCUGGUAGUCUGGUCCUUGUUCCCGUCUGGAUACCAGCUUCCUUCAGCAGUGCAGGCGGUGGUCCCUGAGGCUAGUGCAAGGAGUGAAACUUGCGGGAAUUUUGCAGAAGUUAUUGUAUUCCAAGAAGAAUAAGCAAAAAAAUAAAAGAAGGAAGGAAGGA
rnacentral:lncRNA from 1 species